rnacentral:rRNA from 1 species
UACGUAGGGGGCUAGCGUUGCUCGGAAUCACUGGGCGUAAAGCGCAUGUAGGCGGAUUGUUAAGUCAGGGGUGAAAUCCUGGAGCUCAACUCCAGAACUGCCUUUGAUACUGGCGAUCUCGAGUCCGGGAGAGGUGAGUGGAACUGCGAGUGUAGAGGUGAAAUUCGUAGAUAUUCGCAAGAACACCAGUGGCGAAGGCGGCUCACUGGCCCGAUACUGACGCUGAGGCACGAAAGCGUGGGGAGCAAACAGG